ACUCCUACGGGAGGCAGCAGUGGGGAAUAUUGCACAAUGGGGGAACCCUGAUGCAGCCAUGCCGCGUGUGUGAAGAAGGCCUUCGGGUUGUAAAGCACUUUCAGUAGGGAGGAAGGUAGUGUAGUUAACACCUGCAUUAUUUGACGUUACCUACAGAAGAAGCACCGGCUAACUCCGUGCCAGCAGCCGCGGUAAUACGUAGGGCGCAAGCGUUGUCCGGAAUUAUUGGGCGUAAAGAGCUCGUAGGCGGUUUGUCGCGUCUGCUGUGAAAUCCCGAGGCUCAACCUCGGGCCUGCAGUGGGUACGGGCAGACUAGAGUGUGGUAGGGGAGACUGGAAUUCCUGGUGUAGCGGUGGAAUGCGCAGAUAUCAGGAGGAACACCGAUGGCGAAGGCAGUCUCUGGGCCACAACUGACGCUGAGGAGCGAAAGCGUGGGGAGCGAACAGGAUUAGAUACCCUGGUAGCGACU
rnacentral:rRNA from 1 species